UUGAAGAAACCUNGGAUUGCAGCGCCUCGCUCAAUUAUCUGAGUAUUAUUCAUUGUGUGAAUUUGAAUUUGAUAAAUUUACUAGGCUCUGGCUCCAAUUACCAAUGUCUUACUCUACUACUCAUACAGUCUUGUGAUGAUCUAGAGUCAUUUGGCUUGCCCACACCAAAUUUAAGACAUCUAGAUAUAGUUGACUGUCAACAUCUCAAGUCCUUACCUGAACGGAUGGAUCUACUUUCCUCCCUUUGGUCCCUGUGGGUGAAUAAUUGUGCUUCAUUAUUGGAACUCUUUCCCCAAGAGAAUAUUCCCCCAAAUCUUUCUCAGCUGGAUGUCAAACAUUGCGAAAAAUUAAAUCCUCCGGGGGAGUGGGGCCUACACAAACUCACCUCUCUUACACACUUCAAUUUUGGUGGAUGUCCAGAGCUGGUUUCCUUCACUGACAAUGCUGAUGAAGAACAAUGUGUGCUUCCUUCGUCUCUAAUUCAUUUGGAGUUGAAAGACCUGCCAAAUCUGAAAACCCUACCAAAGGGCUUCCAAAACCUUACCUCUCUUCGAAGUUUACACAUCAGAAAAUGCCCAAAGCUUGUGGCGUUGCCCAUGGAAGAGCACCUUAUUGACAUUUACCGGGAAAAUUGACUAAAAUCCAUGCAGAUUUUGUGCGACUGCAUUCUUGGUAUGGAAAUGUCAAUACACAUUGAAAAGCUUUUGAGAUAUUCACAUUGCAGGCUGCAAACUUCUUAAUAAACGGUAUUUGAAUGAAAAAGGAAAUUACUGGCCCAUCAUUGCUGGCAUUUCCGACAUCGAAAUUGAUUACCAUUCCAUCAAUGCUCCAUGUCCAUGAAUUUCAUUUCACGAGGUAACAUAUUUAAUUUGAUACCUAUGAAUCUCAAUAUCAUUUCAUGCAAAACACUUUUCGACAUUUCGUCAAUUAUUUUUCAAAUCAGAAUGUGAAUCUUUUGCUGCAAAUAGUGAAUCUAGACUUUCUGUAACAGCUAUUCAAGUGUUCAUGCUACUCCGUA
rnacentral:lncRNA from 1 species